rnacentral:rRNA from 1 species
UAUUAAAGGUCCCGCCUGCCCAGUGAAACUAUUUUUUAACGGCCGCGGUAUUCUAACCGUGCAAAGGUAGCGUAAUCACUUGUCUUUUAAAUAAAGACUUGUAUGAACGGCUAAAUGAGGAUAAAUCUGUCUCCUAUGACCAAUCAGUGAAACUGAUCUCCCAGUACAAAAGCUGGGAUAACAACAUAAGACGAGAAGACCCUGUGGAGCUUUAAACUAAGUACUAAUAAAACCAACUAGUAUAAAGUUUUAAGUUGGGGCGACUUCGGAAUAAAACAAAACCUCCGAGCACAGAAUCACUACUUCUUACCAAGGCCAACAAGCCAAAAACAAACCGACCCAGUCCACACUGAUCAACGAACCAAGUUACCCCAGGGAUAACAGCGCUAUCUUCUUCAAGAGUUCCUAUCGACAAGAAGGUUUACGACCUCGAUGUUGGAUCAGGACACCCAAAUGGUGCAGCCGCUAUUAAAGGUUCG